rnacentral:rRNA from 1 species
UUGGAAGUAAAAAGUCGUAACAAGGUCUCCGUUGGUGAACCAGCGGAGGGAUCAUUACCGAGUUUACAACUCCCAAACCCCUGUGAACAUACCAAUUGUUGCCUCGGCGGAUCAGCCCGCUCCCGGUAAAACGGGACGGCCCGCCAGAGGACCCCUAAACUCUGUUUCUAUAUGUAACUUCUGAGUAAAACCAUAAAUAAAUCAAAACUUUCAACAACGGAUCUCUUGGUUCUGGCAUCGAUGAAGAACGCAGCAAAAUGCGAUAAGUAAUGUGAAUUGCAGAAUUCAGUGAAUCAUCGAAUCUUUGAACGCACAUUGCGCCCGCCAGUAUUCUGGCGGGCAUGCCUGUUCGAGCGUCAUUUCAACCCUCAAGCCCAGCUUGGUGUUGGGACUCGCGAGUCAAAUCGCGUUCCCCAAAUUGAUUGGCGGUCACGUCGAGCUUCCAUAGCGUAGUAGUAAAACCCUCGUUACUGGUAAUCGUCGCGGCCACGCCGUUAAACCCCAACUUCUGAAUGUUGACCUCGGAUCAGGUAGGAAUACCCGCUGAACUUAAGCAUAUCAAAANCGGGAAGGAAA